GGAUGUGAGGGCGAUCUGGCUGCGACAUCUGUCACCCCAUUGAUCGCCAGGGUUGAUUCGGCUGAUCUGGCUGGCUAGGCGGGUGUCCCCUUCCUCCCUCACCACUCCAUGUGCGUCCCUCCCGAAGCUGCGCGCUCGGUCGAAGAGGACGACCUUCCCCGAAUAGAGGAGGACCGGUCUUCGGUCAAGGGUAUACGAGUAGCUGCACUCCCCUGCUAGAACCUCCAAACAAGCUCAAGAAAGAGGGAAAAAAAAACCUUGUCCACUCCAUGACUUUGCCGCCGCAGCUCCGAACUCUGCACCUAGGCUGCUGCUGCCG
rnacentral:snRNA from 1 species